UUUUGGACAAUGGGGGCAACCCUGAUCCAGCCAUGCCGCGUGAGUGAAGAAGGCCUUCGGGUUGUAAAGCUCUCUCGGACGGAACGAAAUGGGCGGGACUAAUACUCCUGUCUGAUGACGGUACCGUAAGAAGAAGCACCGGCUAACUACGUGCCAGCAGCCGCGGUAAUACGUAGGGUGCGAGCGUUAAUCGGAAUUACUGGGCGUAAAGCGUGCGCAGGCGGUUUCGUAAGCUGGAGGUGAAAUCCCCGGGCUUAACCUGGGAAUGGCCUUCAGGACUGCGAGGCUAGAGUGCGGCAGAGGGAGGUGGAAUUCCACGUGUAGCAGUGAAAUGCGUGGAGAUGUGGAGGAACACCGAUGGCGAAGGCAGCCUCCUGGGCCAGCACUGACGCUCAUGCACGAAA
rnacentral:rRNA from 1 species